GAUGAACGCUGGCGGCGUGCUUAACACAUGCAAGUCGAGCGAGUGAGUUCUUCGGAACGAUCUAGCGGCGGACGGGUGAGUAACACGUGGGCAACCUGCCUCAUAGAGGGGAAUAGCCUCCCGAAAGGGAGAUUAAUACCGCAUAACAUCGUUGAAGGGCAUCCUUCGAUGAUCAAAGGAGCAAUCCGCUAUGAGAUGGGCCCGCGGCGCAUUAGCUAGUUGGUGAGGUAACGGCUCACCAAGGCGACGAUGCGUAGCCGACCUGAGAGGGUGAGCGGCCACAUUGGGACUGAGACACGGCCCAGACUCCUACGGGAGGCAGCAGGGGGGAAUAUUGCACAAUGGGGGAAACCUUGAUGCAGCAACGCCGCGUGAGUGAUGACGGCCUUCGGGUUGUAAAGCUCUGUCUCUGGGGACGAUAAUGACGGUACCCAAGGAGGAAGUCACGGCUAACUACGUGCCAGCAGCCGCCGUAA
rnacentral:rRNA from 1 species